AGUAUUCAAGGUCAAUUAAUUUUUUUUUUUCUUUUUUUUUUAUCGGUUUUCUCAAUUUGGAAUAGCCGAUAAAAAAAAAAGAAAAAAUUGGA
rnacentral:ribozyme from 1 species